UGCAUCGAUGACUAAUGAAUUUGAAUAUCUGCGUCUCAAAUCGUGACGCGAAAUUCUCAUUGGUUAGAUGCUAUAAUUUAUAUGUUUCCGCUGAGCUCUAUAUAUGUCAACUGCUCUAAGCACUAUGCAUAAAAAACACAUUAACUGAUCAUAUUGGUCUUGGCCGUCUUAUCUCAAAGCACGAAAUGUUCUGUUUUGAGAAAACAGUAUUUAAAACAUUUGAACUUUUGCUUGAAUAUCUUAUAUUUCGAAAAAUAGUAUAAACUGUACGCUCUAAAUUUAGUUUGCACGGUCUAAAUUUAGUUUGCACGAAAGUUGUAAACAACACCAUAUAAGGAUAGACAUUCCAUAUUUGGAAAAACGAAC